rnacentral:rRNA from 1 species
UACGUAGGUGACCAGCGUUGUCCGGAUUUACUGGGCGUAAAGAGCGCGCAGGCGGUCGUUCAAGUCGAGUGUGAAAGCCCCCGGCUCAACUGGGGAGGGUCAUUCGAUACUGAUCGACUUGAAGGCAGGAGAGGGAAGCGGAAUUCCCGGUGUAGUGGUGAAAUGCGUAGAUAUCAGGAGGAACACCGGUGGCGAAGGCGGGUCUCUGGGCCGAUAUUGACACUGAGAAACGAAAGCCAGGGGAGCAAACGGG